CUAGUCGAUGGGUAACGUAACCUAGUUUGAAUAAAUAUAGCGAAUUUAACUGCAGCAUUCGUAUUUUAGGAGAUAUUUACAAAAACACAGUGGUAUGAAACUGUAUGAGAGUAGGGUGUCCAUGCAUUUUCACAUAUUCGAAAUUUUCGUUAUUCACGUCUUAUUUUUUUAGAGAGAGUGCAUACUUUAUAAAAAUCAAAGUCACAAAUAGUUUAAAAUUUCUUUAUUUACAAUCAACACAAAGGCAAACAAAUCAAGUAAUAAAAGACAACCAGAUAAAUAUAAAAUCUUCAUAAACUAACAUAAUAUUUAUAAAUUCUGUGUCACAUAUUUUCGUGUCAGUUAGACACGAAAAUAUGUGACACAGAAUGUAGACAUAUUUUCUUAGAGGUACUUAUUUCAAUUUUAAAAGAAUUGUCGUCGUAACAAAAAUAUUUAUUGUUAUUUAAAAAAUGACAUUUAUAGUGGCCUAUUUUUGUGCCUGGUAUAAAUUCUAUAGUACCAACUAAGAAAUAAUAAUUAUCCUUAAUGCUAAGAGUAAUCGGCAAUUCAGUGAGUAAAACUGAGUCUGCAGCUCCGUUUAAAUCAAAUGUUAUGAUCUCGCCUAGCUUAAGUUCACCUUUCAACUCUGUGUCACAUUUUUGACACAUUGUGUUAACACAAAGAAAUUUUAAUCUAUUUGUGACUUUGAUUUUUAUAAAGUAUGCACUCUCCCUAAAAAAAUAAGACGUGAAUAACGAAAAUUUCGAAUAUGUGAAAAUGCAUGGACACCCUACUCUCAUACAGUUUCAUACCACUGUGUUUUUGUAAAUAUCUCCUAAAAUACGAAUGCUGCAGUUAAAUUCGCUAUAUUUAUUCAAACUAGGUAACGUUACCCAUCGACUAGUACUUUAAUUAAGCUAAAACCUACUUUUAAUAACGAGAAAAACGAAAUUGUAUUUUAGGCAUAUUGCCGUCCGCGCGGCCAACUAAAAUCGACUCUAACAUAUUAUUGAACCUGCUUUCUAGUAUUUUUUUGUCUUUUUUCGCUGUAACAAAUUAAAGACUAAUUUUCUAUA